AAGCACGGGCAUGGUAGAUGAAAAAACAGUGAGGAGCUGUAUACACGUCGAGAAAAACGCUUAUGGUGGAGUAUUGUUCAUUUUGGAUGAAUGCAGAGUUUAUCCGCUGGAUUUGGACUUACUGUAACCUGUCGAAGUAGACUGAGGACCAGGAAGCUCUCCUUGGACCCGGUAGAAGUGGGUAGCUGUCGUCACAGUCCUGCUAUCGUUCCUGCUCAUCUGAGAUGUUGCCGCUGCUGAGAAUCUGCCAGUGACCUCGCUCGUUUCCCUCGCUUUUCAUUGCUGGUUUGCCUGUUUCGCCCGCUCAUCCCGGUGACUGUUGGGUCCACGCUCCAAGAUCCAGUCAGUGUUGCAGUGAUGUGGGAAGCUCUGGCCACCAAAUACCUGACUAAUUACAUCAAAAGGUGAAUAAAUGUUGAUGGCAAAAAAUGCAAUAAGUAAGCACUUCUGAAACAAACCAAAUUCCCCAAUUUCCUUCAGGAUCUGUCCAAAGUUGCUCAUCGUGAUGUGUGGU